rnacentral:rRNA from 1 species
CAGCAGCCGCGGUAAUACCGGCGGCCCGAGUGGCGGUCACUAUUAUUGGGCUUAAAGCGUCCGUAGCCGGGUUGGGAAGUCCUCCGGGAAAUCUGGCCGCUUAACGGUCAGAAUGCCGGAGGAUACUCCCAGCCUAGGGAGCGGGAGAGGCCGAGGGGCUUCCCGGGGUAGGGGGGAAAUCCUAUAAUCCCGGGAGGACCACCUGUGGCGAAGGCGCUCGGCUGGAACGCGUCCGACGGUGAGGGACGAAGGCCAGGGGAGCAAACCGGAUUAGAUACCCGGGUAGUCCUGGCUGUAAACGAUGCGGACUUUGUGUCGGACAAGCUAUGAGCUUGUCCGGUGCCGGAGGGAAACCGUUAAGUCCGCCGCCUGGGGAGUACGGCCGCAAGGCUGAAACUUAAAGGAAUUGGCGGG